AACCAGAUGGUAACCCAGACAAUCGUGCAAUGUGAGAACAGCAGCGAUUUGAUGACUUUGAAAAUCAUGCAGUGUGUGCCCGGCAUUAGAGGAGGACUGCAGGACUCUACAGAAGCAUUCAGCACAUGACCAUGGCGGCAUGAAAAAAAAAGCCUCGUCCACCAUCUCCAGACCACUCCAGCCUGCCUUUGAUGGGAUUAGAGUCCAUGGUGACGUCAUCCGAAAGCUCUGUAUAGUAAAAAUAAAACCCCUUUUUAAAGUCAGGCCUGACAGACAUGCAGUUUGCUCCUCUUCCUGCGGAGCGCUAAUGCAGAUCUGAGUGCAUUACCCUGAUUGCAACACUUAAUGGAGUCACAGUCUUUCCCAUGGGUGACCACCAUCUCAACAAAUCCACAUGAGGGCAAAGGUCAGGGUGAAUGUCACUUCCAUGACUGUCUUAAAAGC